rnacentral:lncRNA from 1 species
CCGCGGUCUAUUUUUGGCACACGGAGGCCCCUCGCAAAGUCUCGCGGCAUUCCGAGUCCGGCGGACGAAGUUGGCCAGCCCCACCCCCCAAGGCUAUAGCCCACCCGUUUUUGUGGCCUUUUUCCGCUGGACGAACUUGGCGCCCCGGCCUUCGGACGGUUAUUUUUGGGCGCAGCUUUGCCCGCGGCCUAUUUUUGGCACACGGAGGCCCCUCGCAAAUUCUCGCGGCAUUCCGAGUCCGGCGGACGAAGUUGGCCAGCCCCACCCCCCAAGGCUAUAGCCCACCCGUUUUUGUGGCCUUUUUGCGCUGGACGAACUUGGCGCCCCGGCCUUCGGACGGUUAUUUUUGGGCGCCGCUUUGCCCGCGGCCUAUUUUUGGCACACGGAGGCCCCUCGCAAAUUCUCGCGGCAUUCCGAGUCCG